rnacentral:rRNA from 1 species
CAGCCGCCGCGGGAAUACGAAGGGGGCUAGCGUUGUUCGGAAUUACUGGGCGUAAAGCGCACGUAGGCGGACAUUUAAGUCAGGGGUGAAAUCCCGGGGCUCAACCCCGGAACUGCCUUUGAUACUGGGUGUCUAGAGUAUGGAAGAGGUGAGUGGAAUUCCGAGUGUAGAGGUGAAAUUCGUAGAUAUUCGGAGGAACACCAGUGGCGAAGGCGGCUCACUGGUCCAUUACUGACGCUGAGGUGCGAAAGCGUGGGGAGCAAACAGGAUUAGAUACACCAGUAGUCCCUGUCUCUUAUAC